UACGUAGGGUGCAAGCGUUGUCCGGAAUUAUUGGGCGUAAAGAGCUCGUAGGCGGUUUGUCGCGUCUGCUGUGAAAACGCGGGGCUCAACCCCGCGCCUGCAGUUGGUACGGGCAGACUAGAGUGUGGUAGGGGAGACUGGAAUUCCUGGUGUAGCGGUGAAAUGCGCAGAUAUCAGGAGGAACACCGGCGGCGAAGGCGGGUCUCUGGGCCAUAACUGACGCUGAGGAGCGAAAGCGUGGGGAGCGAACAGG
rnacentral:rRNA from 1 species